AUUGUAUUUUAAAGGCCUGACUGAGUUCUAAUUAUUAUUGGUACCAUUUUAACUUUGAAUAAUGUGUAUUUCUUUGACGCAUGACUUUACCCCUGUGUUGUGUGCCUGUGGUGGUAUGGGCCAAUUAGGGAGAGUUCAGCUACCUGAUAAAACGGUUGGCAUAGUAGUUGUUGGGAAACCUCUGUGCUGAGGGCUUCUUUGAUGAGAGUUUGGUUUGUGAGCUAUAUUGGUGAGCUAUAUCUGUAAGGUCUGUGUUCUGUCCGUGUCUAAUUUCUGUGUUUGUCUCCCUUGUGUGGUCGCAUGUUUGUUCCCGUGUCUAGUCCUCGUGCUUCCUUGUUCCCGCCAUGUGCUUUCCCUGUGUUUGUUUGUCUGUGCCAUGUGCCCUCUGUUUGUUCCCGUGUCUAGUCCUCGUGCUUCCUUGUUCCCGCCAUGUGCUUUCCCUGUGUUUGUUUGUCUGUGCCAUGUGCCCUCUUGUUGUUGUCCGUGUCUCCACCCCUCACCUGUUCCCAAUCUCCCGGGUUGUGUGUAUCAUUGGUUUCACCUGUGUCCUGUUGGUUCCCCUUGUUUAGUCCACCUGUGUCUUUGUCUGCCCCGCCUUGAUUGUUCUCACCUGUCCCUCGUUAUCUGUUGCCUGUGUGUGUGUAUAUAUAGUCCUUGUUUUCUUGUUCCUCGUUGUGUCGUCGUAGAUUGUGUUACAUGGUAUGUUCCUUGUUUUUCCACUGCUCCUUGUGUGUUCCUAGCGUUUAGCGCUUCCGCCUUGUUCAAGUGAUUACUCGUGCUUCUGACCUCUGCCUGCCCUACAACUAUUCUCCUGCCUUUUCCCUGUUUGGAUUUGUUUGCCUACUUUUGGACUGCCUACCUGUGUACCGAACCCUGCUAGUAAACGUUUAUUCUUCUGAAUCUACCCCUGUGCUGAGUCGUGCGAUUGAGUCCUGCACAACACCCACCAUUCGUAACAAUAUCUAUGCUUUUCGCUAUCUUCCUCAGAAGUGUGAGGCUGAUAUAUG
rnacentral:lncRNA from 1 species